GUCUUUUUGUAUUAUAUAUAAAGUCUAACCUGCCCACUGAUAUUUAAAUGGCCGCAGUACACUAACUGUGCAAAGGUAGCAUAAUAAUUAGUCUUUUAAUUGAAGGCUGGAAUGAAUGGUUGGACGAAAUAUAAACUGUUUCAUUUAAAAUUAUAUUAGAAUUUUAUUUUUUAGUCAAAAAGCUAAAAUAUAUUUAAAAGACGAGAAGACCCUAUAAAGCUUUAUUGUUAUAAAAAAAUAAAGAAAAAGAUUUUUCAUUUUAUUUUUAAACUAAUAAUUUUAUUGGGGUGAUAGUAAAAUUUAAAAAACUUUUAAUUAUAAGUACAUUAAUAUAUGGUUUAUUGAUCCAUUUUAGUGAUUAGAAAUUUAAGUUACUUUAGGGAUAACAGCGUAAUUUUUUUGGAGAGUUCAUAUCGAUAAAAAAGAUUGCGACCUCGAUGUUGGAUUAAGGAAUAAUUUUAGGUGUAGCCGUUUAAAUGAUAAGUCUGUUCGACUUUUAAAUCCUU
rnacentral:rRNA from 1 species